ensembl:miRNA
AGCUUGCGCCGGAGCCGGGGCCUGAGCCCAGGUCGCGCGGGCAGUGAACUCGUUGAACUGCGCGUGCGGCCGGUGCUCAGCCUGCCGGGCCCUAGCCCCGCGCUCCCGCGCGCGUUGGA